rnacentral:rRNA from 1 species
AUUGAACGCUGGCGGCAGGCCUAACACAUGCAAGUCGAGCGAGCGGCGGACGGGUGAGUAAUGUCUGGGAAACUGCCUGAUGGAGGGGGAUAACUACUGGAAACGGUAGCUAAUACCGCAUACCAUCAGAUGUGCCCAGGUGGGAUUAGCUGGUAGGUGGGGUAAAGGCGCACCUAGGCGACGAUCCCUAGCUGGUCUGGGAGGAUGACCAGCCACACUGGAACUGAGACACGGUCCAGACUCCUACGGGAGGCGGCAGUGGGGAAUGUGGCACAAUGGGCGCAAGCCUGAUGCAGCCAGGCCGCGUGUAUGAAGAAGUCCUUCGGGUUGUAAAGUACUUUCAGCGGGGAGGCGGUACCCGCAGAAGAAGCACCGGCUAACUCCGUGCCAGCAGCCGCGGUAAUUC